rnacentral:piRNA from 1 species
UCACCGAUAUCACGGGCGGUCUGCCACUGU